AAUAUUUCAAUUUACGAUCGCAAUUAAUAUAUUUCGUCUGCAAAGCAGACGCUUAACGAUUUGCUUGCCUAUGCGUGUGAAUGUAAACCAAUACAUACGCAAAAGACCUUUUGCUUCACUGCCCUGCAGUUCCACAAUUAAGAAUAAGCCUCCAAUCAUCACGAGCAGCGGCAAAGAGACGCUCUCUCAGUCGGGGUCCGCAAAGAGAACGCACAAGAAGUACUUUUGGGCUCUCCCUCUCUCGUUAUGUCUCAGCUGGAAAAAUGCGGGUGAACCCAGUCGUAAGUUGCGGAACGUGUUUUAAAAAAACAUAGUUCUGGGGCGUACCUUUUUUACGCAAAACAGCACGCAUGCAAAUUUUCCAAGGCAAAUGUGCGUGCUGGGUGCAUUCUAUUGCGGUGCCUUCUAGAAGUUUUUCAGAAUAAUGCAUCCAGAAGCAUAUUCCGAAAGAAAAAGUUCUGGGUCGUAUCUUUUUUACGCAAAACAGCACGCAUGCAAAUUUACCCAGCAAAAUGUGCGUGCUGGGGGCAGUCUUUUGGGUGCCAUCUGGGUGUAUUUCAAUAUAGUGCGUCCACGUGCAUUUUAGUGGGAAUGUAAAAAAACCAAACUCAAACCCAAAGGUUGCCGAUGCCCAUUUUUUUACAAUCGUCUUUUUUCGGAACUGUUCUCUUGACAAACAAAUAAUAAAGACAAAAGGGAACAUGCAAGGAAGCGAGCGGUUUUUCUUGUCUCUUGCAUUUCUCGUCAGUUGCAUUUUUAGUUCUGAAAAGUGAAGUUCGUGCCACGUGUUUUGAAAAAGUUUGUUGCUUUCUGCCACCAAUUUUACAUCAAUAUUUUCACAGAAUCGCAAAAAAUGAAUGGGCACACCAAGGACUGAACUGCGUAAAUGACAAAAGUACAUAAACAAGAAGGAAGCACCAAAGCACCGUACAGAAGGGGAGUUACUCCGAUUAAAAAUUAGUUGCGUUCUUGAAUAUUGAAAUGAAAAUAAAUAUGAAAUUGAAA